rnacentral:rRNA from 1 species
UACGUAGGUGGCAAGCGUUGUCCGGAUUUACUGGGCGUAAAGGGCGUGCAGGCGGUUUGUUAAGUUCAGGGUGAAAGCUCCCGGCUCAACUGGGAGAGGUCCUUGGAUACUGGCAGACUUGAGGAGGGUAGAGGAGAGUGGAAUUCCCGGUGUAGUGGUGAUAUGCGUAGAUAUCGGGAGGAACACCAGUGGCGAAGGCGGCUCUCUAGUACGGUACUGACGCUGAGACGCGAAAGCGUGGGGAGCGAACAGG